AACACACCAAAAAUACACAUACAAAUUCAAACACACCAAAAACACAUACAAAUUUAAACACACCAAGAACACACACCAACGCACCAAAAACACAGACACUAACGCACCAAUACACAGUAAUUAGCCCAAUAAAACAUAAAAUUAUAUAUACAUUUCACUUGAAUUAUAAUAAUCUAACUUAAAAAUUAAAACUAAUCAGUCUAAAUUAAAAAAAAUCAUGAACCCACGGUUCAUUUUAAUUUUUGAAAACAUCAAUUUUCAGAGCAAGUUCACCUCCGAUAACAUCCCGUUCCUCCUUGUAGAAGCUUCCUAUGAAGCUAUAUAUCAACCAUGAAAGAAGCUACCAACGACUCGUCGUCGUCCCCCAACCGCGUCAUCACCACCAUUAUCAUCAUUAAUACAACUCUCACACACCAAAAAGGUUCUUCACCUUCUCCCACUCUCAAAAUCAACCCAUAAAUUAGAGCAACAACAACAAAAUAAUGAAUUAACAUACAUUAUUUAAGAACUUCAACUACAUCUUCAUAAUCUAUUCUUUACUUUUAAUAUUUCUCCUUUUUGUCGAUUAGAGAUGAUAAGCGGCAAUUGUUAAUCACAACAGAUCUAGGCUUUUCGAAUGAAGAUGGUAGCAGAUCUGGAUUUCUUGGCUACAAAUAUGGAUUUGUCGGCUAGAGAUCUGGGUUUAGGUUCCUUAUAGAAGGUUUAAAAUGAUUGUAAAAAAUAUUUUGGGUAUGUAUGUGUUGUGAAUCUAUUAUGUAGUUGUAUGGUGGUCUAAUUAUUCUUUUGUCACCAGUUCUUCGAUUUCUCUUAUUCUGUCAGUAUCUAUUUGUGCCUCUGUCGUCACUAUCGGACUUGUACAGAAUGGAGAAUUGACUAACAGAGUCUUUUGAGUUUAUCCCCCAUGUCUAAAAAAUUUAAAUUGCCCAGUUAAUAUUAUUAAAUAUCCUCUAAUUUAAACAUCUAUACAAAUGGUUAAAGAGUGAUUUAAUAAAACACGAUCAUAAUUAAAAAAAGAUGGUUUAACGACGUUAUAUGUUGUCCGUCGCUAAACAUAUAGACGACGGUUAUAUGACCGAACCGUUGUCGGGUCCGUCGCUAAAGGUGAGUGAGCUCGAAUGAGC
rnacentral:lncRNA from 1 species